GAGGCCACAUUUUCUUGUUUUCAAUUAGAAAAACUAUUAUAUUUACAUUAUAAUAAACUAUGUAGAUGCAUAAUAUGGACCACAUUUUACUCAACAAAUCCUACAUAUGUGAAGUUUGUUUUUUAAAAGGUUGGAGAUACUUCCAGGUGGUAGCAGGAAAAGUAAAGCUGGAUCCGAAGCUCACCUUCUCCAUGAUCUAGCAAACUCAGUAAUCUGCAGCCCCAGAUUAACCAGCAGCAACCAUACAAGGAAGAGGGUAGAAGAUGCUAAUGCAACAAGGAACUGUCCUAGGAGCCCUGCUCCAUGGUUUCCCGAGGACAAGGAGAUGAAGCAUGAAGGGAGCAAUCAGACUCUGGCAUCUUCUCAGUGUCAGGAGCUAGGCAAUUCUUAACAUCUCAAGAAGAAAGGACGUCUUCUAAUUUCCCUCAAAUUGCCAGGCUUGGAGGCUACCAGCCACAGAGCAGUCCUCAGCAAAUAUCAUGGGUGUUCAGAAGAGCAACGAAAUCUAGAGAACUUUAUUUUUUUAGUAGUUGGUCAGUAUUGGGGGUGGGAGAGAAUCCUUUAUGGCUUUCGAGAAGACACGUAUGGUGUUAUGGUUCAGCUUUUUUUCAUCUGUCAUGCAACUAGAAACAUGAUGUUAUCAUACAUGUCAACCAAUUGCCUAAAAAUUUUUAUUUGGAAAUAAUUUCAAACUUACAGAAAAGUUGCAAGAAUAGUA